UUGAGUAGCCAUUCGAACAACCCUAAAUGUCAGUAUUUCAGUGAGAAAGCACAUGUUUUGAGAAAAACUGUAACUAUUUUGACCAAAUCUACCGUAUUGAACCAUUGACGAAUGUAUUCGUCAAUGGCUCAAUGGUUACUUGGGUAGGUUUGUGCUUUUACUAACAUUGCAACUAAAUCGGUAUUGAACAAGCUUUGUCGCUACCCAGUCGGCAAAAAGCAAGUUGAUGCAAACCAUUACUGUGGCCAGAGUUUCCCAAAAGCAGCGAAUAAUGAUCCGGCACCUUCCUCUAAUGGUCUCUCCAAAUCAACAACCACGGACCAAUCAACAGUUAUAUGUACCAAGCUGCCACCAAGGAUGCCACAUUGCAGCUCGAUUCAGCGAAACAGAUAUUCGGUAUGCCAAUGACGUAGGCACCCGCUGGUAGAAGCAACUAUACUGUUGUUGGGCCUACAUAAACUGACCCGCUACCUUGCCUGCUGCUGCUGCUGAAUCGAAUUGGCCCGAACCGACUCUUUAAACUCAUGUUUCCUUUGUGCUGCUAUUCAUUAAAUUGUUUGGCGACGGCGAAGACAUUUGUUUGACAUUGUCGAAUUUGUUUUCAUUUUAUUUUAUCCGUCCGGAUUGCAAUUUCCGUUGGAGGAUCGAAAACCAAUGAAAGAUUGUAUUUUUAUAUAUGUACCAUUGCUUUGUUGAAGUUAUAGCAAAACAAUCUUCU